CAGGCCUAACACAUGCAAGUCGGACGGGAUUGAAGAGCUUGCUUUUCAUGAGAGUGGCGCACGGGUGCGUAACACGUAUGUAACCUACCUUUACCAGGGGGAUAGCCUCUCGAAAGAGAGAUUAACACCGCAUAAAAUCAGUUUAUAGCAUUAUAGAGUGAUCAAAUAUUUAUAGGGUAAAGAUGGGCAUGCGGAACAUUAGCUAGAUGGCGGGGUAACGGCCCACCAUGGCGACGAUGUUUAGGGGAUCUGAGAGGAUGGCCCCCCACACUGGUACUGAGACACGGACCAGACUCCUACGGGAGGCAGCAGUAAGGAAUAUUGGUCAAUGGGCGAAAGCCUGAACCAGCCAUGCCGCGUGCAGGAAGACGGCCCUACGGGUUGUAAACUGCUUUUAUACGGGAAUAAACCCAGAUAUGUAUAUCUGGCUGAAUGUACUGUAAGAAUAAGGAUCGGCUAACUCCGUGCCAGCAGCCGCGGUAAU
rnacentral:rRNA from 1 species